CCUACGGGAGGCAGCAGUGAGGAAUAUUGGUCAAUGGGCGCAGGCCUGAACCAGCCAAGUCGCGUGAGGGAAGACUGCCCUAUGGGUUGUAAACUUCUUUUAUAAGGGAAUAAUAUUGACUACGUGUAGCCAGAUGCCCGUACUUUAUGAAUAAGCAUCGGCUAACUCCGUGCCAGCAGCCGCGGUAAUACGGAGGAUGCGAGCGUUAUCCGGAUUUAUUGGGUUUAAAGGGUGCGUAGGCGGUAUUUUAAGUUAGUGGGAAAACGUCGGGGCUCAACCUAGAAUGGCCAUUUAUACUGGCGUACUAGAGGACAGAUGAGGUAGGCGGAAUACGUUAAGUAGCGGUGAAAUGCUUAGAUAUCACGUAGAACCCCGAUAGCGAAGGCAGCUUACCAGACUGUUACUGACGCUGAAGCACGAGAGCGUGGGUAGCGAACAGGAUUAGAUACCCCAGUAGUC
rnacentral:rRNA from 1 species